UACGUAGGGUGCAAGCGUUAAUCGGAAUUACUGGGCGUAAAGCGUGCGUAGGUGGUUCGUUAAGUCUGAUGUGAAAGCCCUGGGCUCAACCUGGGAAUUGCAUUGGAUACUGGCGAGCUAGAGUGCGGUAGAGGAUGGCGGAAUUCCCGGUGUAGCAGUGAAAUGCGUAGAUAUGCGGAGGAACACCGAUGGCGAAGGCAAUCCCCUGGACCUGUACUGACGCUCAUGCACGAAAGCGUGGGGAGCAAACAGG
rnacentral:rRNA from 1 species